CUCCUCAGACUCCAAAAUACUCUCUCUACUCACUCCAAAAGCAUUCGGGCCCUUAACUUAAUUUCUCUUCGAAAUCCUCUCAUUCGAUCCUCUCAUCCUUCAUCCCUCUAUGAAACAUCCGACUCUGUGAACGAGUAGAAACAAAUCUUGAGCUACGGGUGUCGAAUUGCAGACGGAAAGUCGUUUACCCAGCAGAACAAAAGAGUAAUAAGGAACAUUGCAAUUACUUCAAGUUCACAGAUGAUGAUGACGACGACGUGAUCUCCAUAAUCCGUUCCAAUACUACACCUCGUAAAGCUAUAAGAAACGAAGAAUUUAACGAUCUAAGAACAAGGGUUUCAAAGAUGGAUAAUGAAAUUGAUGAGCAUGGUAUAAGGCUUCAAAUGAUGGAGAAGAAUUUCAAGGCGAUGCUUUAUGUUAUUGUAUUUUGUAUUGUUUUCUAUUUUAUAAUGUAAAUUAUUCAGUUGUUAGCAUUUUUGGAAUUUGAAGGAUGUACUUAUGGAUUGAAUGGACUUGAUGGAUUGUGAGUA